AACUCAAACAGUCCUGUGACUCCUCACUAGGACUACCCUGGCCAAGGUUUUGCUAAAUUAAAACAUGACUAUACAUAGCUCCUGAACUGGAGUGGUCAAUCCCAUCUUGACACAUGCACCAACAAGUCAAGUACUUGACUACACCCAGCAGCCUUCCAUCACUGAAUUAGAAAUUCAGGUAGUCUAGUGCCUAAGUACAGUGAGUUGCUUGCAAGUCACUGUGGCGGUCUCAGGUC
rnacentral:lncRNA from 1 species